AUAUAAAUAUCUCAACAGUUAAACAAUAUUGACAAAUUAAGUUUUAGUGAGAAUCACUGAUUUAUUUGUUAGAAAACAGGUUGUAUGAGAACCAUUGAUUUAGCUGUUCAAAUAAACAAAUUCUUUAUUUGUUAUGACAUUAAACAUUCUGGAGUCCACAAUUACUGACUAGAAAUUAUUCUGUUUUUACCAAAAAAUACAUUGGUGAGGACACCAUUAACUAGUUUAUGAUCAAUAUUGCACUUAUCCAAGAUUAAAUUAUAUUUUUAAGAUAUUACUUGCAAAUGUUCUAUAUGAGAUGACUGUGAUCCUCUAAUAGGGUUUCCUGGUGUUACGGCUUGCAGAUAGAACAUCAAUCAAUUCGAAAUUUGUCUUAAAGGUUCCCUAGUCAGGUUUAAUAACACCUUUAUGAAAUAAUCUCUAUUGUGUAGCUACAAAAAUUACAAAUGAAUUUCAAUGUAAUAUUCUCAGCAUUACCUCUAUUAAGAAACUUGUCAUUUGGCAGAGGCAGUCGGAGAAUUGGAUUUGGAGUUAUCAGUGUACUCCCUUAUUAUAUUUCAUUGGAUUUGGUAAGCAUCACAUAUAUCUUAUAGGGUUAUUGGGCAUAUAUCCAAGGCCAGAGUUUCUUCAUUCAGAAGACUCCAAAUCGGAGUGGUGUAAUACCUGUAACAUACUGUACUUGUACUGGUCACGUAUCAGAAAAAUGUCUAUAUUUUCUGAUGUCCAAAUGUAGAACUACAGUAAAUAUUUAGUAAAUAAUAUUUGAACAGUUAUUGCUAUCCUGAUAGGUUAGGUAGCUGUUUAACAAACAUAACCUUAUGUUAUCCGUCAACGGACAAUGUGUUUGCCAAUUAAUACUUUUUUUAGAUUUAGUGGUGAACUUUAUGUCCUUACUAAAUGUUAGAUUAUCAAAUUGUGUUAUUGGCGAUAUUUGACUUGUAUGAAACACAGUGAAACGAUUCCUACUUUAGCAAGGGCGCUAAAAGAAUUAAUAUAAGAGAAAAAACUUUAUCCAACAUUUUUGGAUAAAUACUCGUGUAGAUUUCUUUGCUUUCACAAGAGCAGUAACAUUGUAUACAGGUUUCAGUACGGUUGUCGGUUUUCUGUACUACAGUUGUUCUAACCACGCAGAAUAUUGUGUUGCUUUGACCUAAGCCUUGUUGCUAGGUAACAACAUAUACAAUUUUGUAUUUCUGUUUAAUCUCAUGUGCUACAAAUGGAAAUUAUACAGGUUUUGUGAUAUGGCUGUAGCUAAUUGCUCUUGUUGCAUUCUGCUCUGGUUUUUAUACCAGAAGCAUGUAUUUUCUACAAAAGCGUCAUGCUGUAAAUAAUAAAAACAAAUGUUAAUAUAUUGUGUUGAUAUUUGAAAGAAAAAGUACUUUGAAUAUUCCAUUUUUAAAAAAAUAAAGUUCUAAA